rnacentral:misc_RNA from 1 species
AGGUCUGAAAUCUUGUCUAUUGAUAUUUAAUCAUUGGGGUUUAUGAAAUUUAAGAAGGAUUCUUUUCUUUUUUUUGAUGUUUCUCAGUGAUGUCUUCUGAACUAGGCCUUAAAGAUAAAACCUAGUUCAGUUAUAUGUCAAAAUAAGACAGCUUUGUUCGUGCUUCUCACUAGAUGUUAAUUAAAUUUGCAGAAUAGGUCAGAAGAGGUUGGGCCUUAUAUAAAUGGACGCUGUAUAUAUCUUGUUGGUUAGUUUAUUGGUCUGUCUCUUCAUUUUUCUGGUAGAAAUUAGAUGAUUACUCUAGGAGUAGUAGCUGAGUUUUUGUGAAAUGCA